GACGAACGCUGGCGGCGUGCCUAAUACAUGCAAGUAGGACGCACAGUUUAUACCGUAGCUUGCUACACCAUAGACUGUGAGUUGCGAACGGGUGAGUAACGCGUAGGUAACCUGCCUGGUAGCGGGGGAUAACUAUUGGAAACGAUAGCUAAUACCGCAUAAUAUUAAUUAUUGCAUGAUAAUUAAUUGAAAGGUGCAAUUGCACCACUACCAGAUGGACCUGCGUUGUAUUAGCUAGUAGGUGAGGUAACGGCUCACCUAGGCGACGAUACAUAGCCGACCUGGGAGGGGGAUCGGCCACACUGGGACUGAGACACGGCCCAGACUCCUACGGGAGGCAGCAGUAGGGAAUCUUCGGCAAUGGACGAAAGUCUGACCGAGCAACGCCGCGUGAGUGAAGAAGGUUUUCGGAUCGUAAAGCUCUGUUGUAAGAGAAGAACGGGUGUGAGAGUGGAAAGUUCACACUGUGACGGUAUCUUACCAGAAAGAGACGGCUAACUACGUG
rnacentral:rRNA from 1 species